UACGUAGGGUGCAAGCGUUGUCCGGAAUUAUUGGGCGUAAAGAGCUCGUAGGCGGUUUGUCGCGUCUGCUGUGAAAUUUCGGGGCUCAACCUCGAACUUGCAGUGGGUACGGGCAGACUAGAGUGUGGUAGGGGAGACUGGAAUUCCUGGUGUAGCGGUGGAAUGCGCAGAUAUCAGGAGGAACACCGGUGGCGAAGGCGGGUCUCUGGGCAGUAACUGACGCUGAGGAGCGAAAGCGUGGGGAGCGAACAGG
rnacentral:rRNA from 1 species